UACAGAAAAAAGGAAACAACAGACACGGGAACUCAAUCGACGCUUUCCACAAAAAUGAAAUGGACACUUGGGCUGGACGAAAAUAUUAGAUCCAAUGCUGUUGCUGCCACCAGCAGGAUCUCAUGCAUGGCCAUGGCAUCCGCCUGACGUGCCCUCCGUGUGGCUGUGACUGCUGUCACCGCAAGCCGCGCUGCCGACGCCGCACGUGGCCUAGAGCGAGAUCUCGGAUGGAGAGCCGCGGGGGUGUCCUUCGGAGGAAGCGCUGUCUCGGAUGGCACGGUGGUGCCCUCCGGAGGAAGCGCCAUGGACAGCAUCCACAAGGAGAGCUGCGGGGGUGCCCUCUAGAGGAAGCGUUGCUCCGAGGCGGCGCCACAUGCGCAACCGCAACCACCGGCCCUUGAGAAGAUGGUUGGUUCAGCCUCGUUACAGCAGAUUUGUUCGUUCGGUUCUGUUUGGUUUCCUGAUUCAGGUUCUGCAACAUGCAAUUUGAGGUGGCCAGGGAGUUCUGGACGCAAUUUGAGGCGGCUACGGAGUUCUGGACGCAAUUUUGGAAGUUGCUGUCGAUACGUGUGGGAGGCCAGACGAAAAAAAAUACCAGACCAAAAAAUUGGCUGAAAUUUUACCUCUUUAGUAUUAGGUAGGUAUAGAUAUAAAGUCAAAAUGCAAAACCCUUCGAGAUGCUCAUUAUUAUACAUCUGUCUAGCUAUUUUAUGAACUUUUGAGAUAUUAUAUAUAAGUUUUUAAUGCA